rnacentral:rRNA from 1 species
UACGGAGGGUGCAAGCGUUAUUCGGAAUUAUUGGGCGUAAAGGGCGUGUAGGCGGCUUGGUAAGUCAGAUGUGAAAGCCCGGGGCUCAACCCCGGAAGUGCAUUUGAUACUGCUUGGCUUGAGUGCGGGAGAGGAAAGCGGAAUUCCCAGUGUAGAGGUGAAAUUCGUAGAUAUUGGGAGGAACACCGGUGGCGUAGGCGGCUUUCUGGACCGACACUGACGCUGAGACGCGAAAGCGUGGGGAGCAAACAGG